GACGAACGCUGGCGGCGUGCCUAACACAUGCAAGUCGAGCGAACAGACGAGGAGCUUGCUCCUUGGACGUUAGCGGCGGACGGGAGAGUAACACGUGGAUCAUCUACCUAUAAGACUGGGAUAACCUCGGGAAACGGGAGCUAAUCCCGGAGAAUAUAUUGCACCGUAGGGGUCAAUAGUGAAAUACGGUUUUUCGGUCACUUCUAGAUGCAUCCGCGCCGCAUUGGCUAGUUGGGAAGGUACCGGGUUACCAAGGCGACUAUGCGUAGCCGACGUGUGAGGAUGAUCGGCCACCCUGGAGCGUGAACACGGACCAGGCUCCUACGGUAGGCAGCAGUAGGGAAUCGUCCGCAGUGGGCGAGAGCCUGACGGAGCAGCGCGACGUGAGUGAUAAAAGUCUUCCGAGCGUGAAGCUCUGUUAUGAGGUAAGAACAAAUUUGGAAGUUGCUGAGCACGGCGUGACGGUACCUGAUCAGGAAGCCACGGCUAACUACGUG
rnacentral:rRNA from 1 species